rnacentral:sRNA from 1 species
GCUCUGCAGACGCCCUACUCCUCCUCCCAAGGGUCGUCUGCGCGAACAGCGCCACUCCUCCUCCCGUGCGCUGUUCAUUAUUGCCGAAAGCCUGCCGCACCUCCUCCCGCGGCAGGCUUUUUUC